rnacentral:lncRNA from 1 species
UAUAUUUCUUAAACUCAACAGAUUAUUCUAUGCUAAUUAGCCUGUUUUAGCUUAAAGAUACAAAGAAUGGACAAACACUACAACAAAAACGGUCUAUAGCGACACUUUUAAAUAUAGGUAUAUGUCAAAAAAGUGCUGCUAGCUAAAAUUACCGACACUUUUAAAAAAUAUUGCUAUAUGUGGGAUCGCUAGGUAUAUAGUGACAGUUAAAGAGUGUCGCUAUAACCUAAAAGAGUGCUACUAAUUUACCAACACUUAUUUAAGCAUUUAGCAACCGCCGAAACCCUAUCUCGUUGGCUGCGGUGGCGGAGGAGGACGACAGGAAAGGCUCUUCGUCUAGAAUUUCAGUGGAUUGAGUGAAGAGUGAAGAAAAGAUGGUAAUUGAUUUUUUUUUUUUUUUCUUUUCUGUUUGUAAUUGGGCCAAAUGGACUGGGUGUGGUGGGUUGAGUAGAGUAAUCUUUUAUUUUUGGUUGGAUUGAGCUUUAUAUUUAGGCAUUAGUAGAUAUUUUUUUAAGUUUUAGGAUAAAUGUGACACUUACUCAAAAGUGUCUUAAACAUGUGUCGGUAUAACCAAAUUCUGUUGUAGUGAAAAAGCCUCUUAUUGGAGUACAUUAUUAGUUUUAAUCUCCACUACCCUUUUUCCCCUCA